GUGAAUCAUCGAAUCUUUGAACGCACCUUGCGCCCUUUGGUAUUCCGAAGGGCAUGCCUGUUUGAGUGUCAUUAAAAUCUCAACUUCAAAAAUCUUUUGAAGCUUGGACUUUGGAGGUUAUUUGCAGGCAAGUAUAUUGUCAGCUCCUCUUAAAUGCAUUAGCGGAACUUUGUAAGGACCAGCUUUGGUUUGAUAAUCCUAUCUAUGCCGUUGCUGUGGACUCGUAUGUUCGGCUUCUAAUGGUCCUUUGGACUGUCUCUUUAUGAGGCAUACACUUUAAGCUUGACCUCAAAUCAGGUAGGACUACCCGCUGAACUUAAGCAUAUCAAUAAGCGGAGGA
rnacentral:misc_RNA from 1 species